GUACUCGCUUUGGCAGCACAUAUACUAAAAUUGGAAUGAUACAGAGAAGAUUAGCAUGGUCUCUAUACAAGGAUGACAUGCAAAUUCAUGAAGCAUUCCAUAUUUAA